GAUGAACGCUGGCGGCGUGCUUAACACAUGCAAGUCGAGCGAAGCGCUCACGCGGAAUUUUUCGGAAGGAAGCGGGAGUGACUUAGCGGCGGACGGGUGAGUAACGCGUGGGUAACCUGCCCCAUACCGGGGGAUAACGGUUAGAAAUGACCGCUAAUACCGCUUAAGCGCGCGAGGCCGCAUGGCCGUGCGCGAAAAACUCCGGUGGUAUGGGAUGGGCCCGCGUCUGAUUAGGUAGUUGGCGGGGUAAGGGCCCACCAAGCCGACGAUCAGUAGCCGACCUGAGAGGGUGGCCGGCCACAUUGGGACUGAGACACGGCCCAA
rnacentral:rRNA from 1 species